rnacentral:rRNA from 1 species
UACGUAGGGGCGAGCGUUGUCCGGAUUUAUUGGGCGUAAAGAGCGUGUAGGCGGCCAGGUAGGUCUGCUGUGAAACUCGAGGCUCACCAUCGAGACGUCGGCGGAAACCAUCUGGCUAGAGUCCGGAAGAGGAGAGUGGAAUUCCUGGUGUAGCGGUGAAAUGCGCAGAUAUCAGGAAGAACACCCGUGGCGAAGGCGGCUCUCUGGGACGGUACUGACGCUGAGACGCGAAAGCGUGGGGAGC